CACAGACAGAAGGAGAACUUUUGAUAGGUAACACCUCAGUGUUUUUUUAAUCUUUUUGGCAAAUUAUCAUUUAUCAUUAUAUUUUUGCCUGCCAUAUAAUAUUAUUACAAUGAUAUAAAAAAUACAAGAUAAGUUUAUUAGGCCUCAAAAAAAGGAUUGACUUAUUAGUCAGGGCAUGUAGGAUGAGAGAGGGAGACAGAAAGACAGUGAGAGAGAGACAAAUAUUCUGUUGUUUUAUUACAGAUCAAACUGAAGCUGGAAAAAUAGAAAACAGCUAAGGUACUCAUGAGGAUUUUAGCUUCUUUUGAGUUCACAAAAGGAAAUGGCUUAUUAGUGACAGAGAAAACAAAAGAAUCACCCUUCUUCAGGACUUGAAAACUCUGUUGUUUCAAAAAUAUGUGGUUCCCUGGGAUAAAAACUCACAGCUAAUUUUAUUUUCCAAAUUGGAAGGGGGUGGGUGAGAAUAUUUUGAGAUGAGAAAUUGCCCAAGCCUUUCUGGUCUGUAUGCACUUCCCCAGGAUGCAGAGAUGAAGAGACCAUGAUUCACAGGAUGCCCCAAUAGGUACUAAAACAAAAUUUACAAAAUCACAGCUUGAUGCAAAGUCUCAUGUUGGGCUGAUUGAAGGAAAAACUAGAAACACUGCACAGAGUUUCCUGGCAUCAAAAAGAGAAACAUCAGCCGAUUGUUUUUGUUAAUUGAAGGCCACUUUGGGACCUCAGUGAAAAUAUUCUUCUCACCUGUUUUUUAAUUGUCU
rnacentral:lncRNA from 1 species